UGGGGAAUAUUGGACAAUGGGCGAAAGCCUGAUCCAGCCAUGCCGCGUGAGUGAUGAAGGCCCUAGGGUUGUAAAGCUCUUUCAACGGUGAAGAUAAUGACGGUAACCGUAGAAGAAGCCCCGGCUAACUUCGUGCCAGCAGCCGCGGUAAUACGAAGGGGGCUAGCGUUGUUCGGAAUUACUGGGCGUAAAGCGCACGUAGGCGGACCAGCAAGUUAGGGGUGAAAUCCCGGGGGCUCAACCCCGGAACUGCCUCUAAAACUGUUGGUCUCGAGUUCGAGAGAGGUGAGUGGAAUUCCGAGUGUAGAGGUGAAAUUCGUAGAUAUUCGGAGGAACACCAGUGGCGAAGGCGGCUCACUGGCUCGAUACUGACGCUGAGGUGCGAAAGCGUGGGGAGCAAACAGGAUUAGAGACCCGAGUAG
rnacentral:rRNA from 1 species